AUGAGCUCGGCUGCUUCUCCCCCACACUUCUUUAUUUCUCCGUGCCCCUUCCGCAUGCGCUUCGUGCGCCAUUGGCGCUUUGCUCUCCUCUUAUUUCUUCAUUGGAGGGUUCGGAUGGACUUUGCCGUUCUUUCCCAACGAAAAUGGAAAGGGCUGUAUCACAUCAAGAUGUCGAUUCGUUUUCUGCCCCAAAUGAGAUGGGAAAUUAGUCACCUCUGUCCCUUCAUCUUUUUGAAAGGAAUCGAGGUCCGGCCCGGCUCGCGUCGUUCCAACAAUCGACGGGGAACACCUUAG
rnacentral:rRNA from 1 species